rnacentral:rRNA from 1 species
GAUGAACGCUGGCGGCGUGCCUAAUACAUGCAAGUCGAGCGAACAGACGAGGAGCUUGCUCCUCUGACGUUAGCGGCGGACGGGUGAGUAACACGUGGAUAACCUACCUAUAAGACUGGGAUAACUUCGGGAAACCGGAGCUAAUACCGGAUAAUAUAUUGAACCGCAUGGUUCAAUAGUGAAAGACGGCUUUGCUGUCACUUAUAGAUGGAUCCGCGCCGUAUUAGCUAGUUGGUAAGGUAACGGCUUACCAAGGCAACGAUGCGUAGCCGACCUGAGAGGGUGAUCGGCCACACUGGAACUGAGACACGGUCCAGACUCCUACGGGAGGCAGCAGUAGGGAAUCUUCCGCAAUGGGCGAAAGCUUGACGGAGCAACGCCGCGUGAGUGAUGAAGGUCUUCGGAUCGUAAAACUCUGUUAUUAGGGAAGAACAAAUGUGUAAGUAACUAUGCACGUCUUGACGGUACCUAAUCAGAAAGCCACGGCUAACUACGUG